rnacentral:sRNA from 1 species
AGAUCGGAUAUUGCCUGAGGCUUCUACCGUCUUAUGAAGUUGCUGUGACA